rnacentral:rRNA from 1 species
UACGAAGGGGGCUAGCGUUGCUCGGAAUCACUGGGCGUAAAGCGCACGUAGGCGGCUUCUUAAGUCAGGGGUGAAAUCCUGGAGCUCAACUCCAGAACUGCCUUUGAUACUGGGAAGCUUGAGUUCGGGAGAGGUGAGUGGAACUGCGAGUGUAGAGGUGAAAUGCGUAGAUAUCAGGAGGAACACCGGUGGUGUAGACGGCUUUCUGGACCGUAACUGACGCUGAGGCGCGACAGCGUGGGGAUCAAACAGG